GACGAACGCUGGCGGCGUGCUUAACACAUGCAAGUCGAGCGGUAAGGCCCUUUCGGGGUACACGAGCGGCGAACGGGUGAGUAACACGUGGGUGACCUGCCCUCAGCUCUGGGAUAAGCCUGGGAAACCGGGUCUAAUACUGGAUAUGACUCCAUGACGCAUGUUGUGGGGUGGAAAGCCUUGUGCGGCUGAGGAUGGGCCCGCGGCCUAUCAGCUUGUUGGUGGGGUGAUGGCCUACCAAGGCGACGACGGGUAGCCGGCCUGAGAGGCGACCGGCCACACUGGGACUGAGACACGGCCCAGACUCCUACGGGAGGCAGCAGUGGGGAAUCUUGCGCAAUGGGCGAAAGCCUGACGCAGCGACG
rnacentral:rRNA from 1 species